rnacentral:tRNA from 1 species
GGGGGCUUAGCUCAGUUGGUAGAGCGGCGCCCUUACAAGGCGUAGGUCGGCAGUUCGAGCCUGUCAGCCCCUACCA